rnacentral:lncRNA from 10 species
CUUUGUGGUUUGAUUUUUAUGUCCGAGUCUCUUUCAGGAGCUGUUUGAUCAGUGUGAGAACAAGAGGCGGACUUUAUUUAAACUCGCCAGUGAGACUGAGGACAAUGAUAACAGUUUGGGUGAGUGAAAGAGCGACGGUCAGGGAUAAGCCAGGCAUUUGGAUAUGUGGGUGGGAACUGUCACAACAGGAGUGAGAAGUCUCUCUUUCCUGCUCCAGGGGACAUCCUGCAAGCCAGUGACAACCUCUCCCGGGUCAUCAACUCUUACAAAACAAUUAUUGAAGGGCAGGUCAUCAAUGGCGAGGUGGCUACCUUAACCCUGCCUGACUCGGAAGGAAACAGUCAGUGCAGUAACCAAGGCACGCUCAUCGACCUUGCGGAGCUGGACACGACCAACAGUUUGUCCUCCGUGUUGGCCCCAGCACCUACUCCACCCUCCUCAGGCAUCCCAAUCCUCCCUCCACCACCCCAGGCCUCAGGACCUCCACGGAGCCGCUCCUCUAGCCAGGCCGAGGCCACCCUGGGGCCCAGCAGCACAAGCAACGCCCUCUCCUGGCUGGACGAGGAGCUACUCUGCUUGGGUGCGGCCCACAGGGGGC